rnacentral:ribozyme from 1 species
UUCUUAUGCCUACCUUGCUACGGGAUGGGAUCCAAAGACUCCUGAAGAUUCUAUCCAACUCCUAUUCCGACACCUCCACGUCGUGCAGGGUGGUAACGUGGGCCCAUUUCCAGCCAUUUGGCCGGAUAAAGGCUCAUGGCUAAAAAGGACGGG